UCUGCAGAAAUAAAAAAAUGUAUUUUUCAAAAUUAAAAAAAUCCAUGCUUUCAACUUGCCGACAUUGGGGACUUUUGAGAGGGCUGUGGAACCUUCUGCUGGGUGCUUCUCAGUACCUCCAAAAAUCUGCCACUUUUAUUUAGGGCCUGUGAAUGGCUUUGGAAACUAGCAGUGACCGGAGACACACAUAAGGUGCAAUUCUGCAGUAUUCACACAACUCAUUCCAAACGGUAUUUUCUCUGUCCCAGGGAUGAUAUACAUUUUAAUUGAAGACAGAAUCUCUCUUUUCUCUACUCAGCCAGGCCCUUUUAUGCAGCCAAUAUCCUUGACAUUCUGCUACUUAAUUAUGGUAAUUAAUUUAGGUAAAGUUUUCGAUAAAAACAAUGUUCACACUGAUUUGACAAUUUGCAUAGCUAAUUAAGUCAUUAGCAAAAACCUGCUGAUUGCCAACAAGCCUUGAAUUUACCAUCUGUUAUUUCAUGGUGCCUGUCACCUAUCACCACACAGGCAACCCUGCCACCCAUCUGGGCAGUAAAGAGAACCGGUCUGUCCAGCUGGUGCCAUAAAGGGAAGAUGAAGAACGCUAAUUGUAAUUACAUUGAUGAAGCUGGUAGUCAUCAGAGAUGGAAGCGUGCAAGAAGAAUCCAUCUAAUCACUCUUUUAAGUACAAAUUGUCCUUCCAUGCAAAUAAGUAAGCCACCUACUGUAGCUGGGAGCAUGGGGAGGCCACAGCUGGAGAGGCCAGGGAUGGGGAAGAAGAAUGCACACACAGGGCAGAGCUCCAGCUUCUUUGUUCAAAGGGGACCAUAUGGGGUUGAUGAGUGACCUUGGCAUGGGACAGGACAUCUGUCAGGUGGAUUCUUCUGGGCAGGCUCUGAGCAAUACUCCACUUAAAAGUGCAGUAACUUCAGGAAAGUGACCAACUGUGAUCAGCCUCCACUGAGGCCAGAGAAAGUAGGGCUAGCCAGAUGCUUUUGGAGAUGAGAGGGUGGGGUUUCCAGUAGAAAGGCUAAUUCAAUAAAAUAUUUUUGACAACUGGGCAGAAAUUCAUUUUACUAGAGCUUUGCCCAGAGAAGGCUUUCCUGGGACAGUAGAAUGGAAUACUGCCUACUGUCAGGAGAAGGACCAGUGGGAUUUUGAAAGUGUCCAUUGAACAAAUCCCUUAGUUACCCCCUAGUCUUUUACAAUGGAAAACCUUGUUUUAUUUAUUUCUGCUCCCCACCAUUCUUGAGUUAGGGGAGAUAAUUAAUAGGUUUCCAAACUAUGUUUUCUGACUAAUCAUUCUUGUGAAUAGAUAAAAAUGAUUUUAAAAAGAAAUGUCCCAAAUGGAGUAAGUGCCUAAAAUGUGAGCUUGGUAAACCCAGCAAUAAAAAUGCCAGGGGAUAUUCAGCUCUGUGCUUCCAAGAUUUAUUUAUUUAUUAUGCAAUGAAGAACCAGAAAUGACAGUGACAUGGAAUGAGACUCAUGAAGACUGUUAAGGUGAGAUGCAAAGUAGAUACCGUCCUUCUGACUGGCAGAAAGGAUGACAGGAUUUUAGAUGGAGUGUGGCCACCGCAGAGGCAUGAAUGGUAUUCAGUUAGCUGGGCAGCUGCAAUGUUACCUGUUGGGGGAUGUUCAGGAUAAAAGAGUGCCACUGAGUUAUAGGCAAUUAGGAGAUGACACUUAUGAUCAAGAACAAAGGGAGAUGGAAAGAAUAGGGCUAGGUUGUACAGAGCAUGACCUGAGGGUUAAUCUCAUUUCAUGACUUGUGUCCAGCACACUUGAAGGGCUUGGAAAACACAUGCAUAAGGCGUCGCAGGGCAGGAGAAGGAUGUUAACCAACCAAGUGGGUCUGCAUUAGUAUCGUGACUCCAAAGUCAUUGAGAGAGGAUGGGAGGUAUGAGGAAGCAUAAUUUGAAAGAGGAGGAGGAAAAUAAAAAGCAGCCAACUUAAGCAUGAUAUUAAAAGAAAAGCCCUCAACACUCCAAAUGCAUUCAUUGAAUUAGAAAACAACAAUCAUUCAAGAAAAGUACUAUGAACAUAGUGGUUUGAAUCAUUUCCAAUGGAGCCCACAGGCUUGUAAUCUGUUCGGUGAAUCUUUGUUCUAGGAGCAGCUGGAAAAGAUGUCUAGGCAUAGGUGUUUUUAAAUGUACUAAAUUUCAAAGGGAUGCCACAUAUGUUUUACUAAUUAUAUAAAAUAUCCCUAGCUAGAUACUUACUUAGUUGUGUGUGUGUGAGAGAGAGAAAGAGAGAGCGUGUGUGUGUGUGUGUGUGUAUGUGUUUGUGUGCGUGCGUAAUUGACAAAUGGCAAGUUAAGGGCUUCAUAUGCACACAGACAGUUAAGGCCACUUAAAAAUUUAUGCGCAUAUUUCUACUGGUUCUUCUAAGCCUCUAGACUAGGAUAGUGAUUAUCUGCUCUGGCAGUCUUGAUUUGUUAUUCUCACACAAAAUAAAUAAAGCAUGAUGCACAUUCUAGGCUGCCUCUGAUUAGGGGUUGUUAGCAACAUUUCCCCCCCAUUUUGUUAAAAAUCCCCCCAACAUUGGCAGUGAGAGUACAUUUCCUUCCCAUCUCUAUCCUGUGUGUCCACGAGAGACAACAGCGAGCCAUCUGAGAGAGGUCCAUAUGCCCUCAGCUCCCCACAAGGCCAACUUCUGCUCCUCGCUGGAAGCCCGGAGGUGCCACCAGCUCUCACCCAUUUCACAUCUUCUCACUAAUCCCCCGUGCAAAGACCACCAACCUCUGAGGAGGACUGGAAGUGACUCCUUUCAGGGCCCCUCAAUGCUUCUCCUUAAAUUGGCCAGAAGGGGUCACUGCUGUUGAAUGACACAGGUCUCCAUCCCUCCCAGGGUUGAGGCUGCAGUUCGGGAUCGCUCCUAGCCCCUGCUCAUGGAGUGAGAAGCAGAAUCCAAGGAUUAAACCCUAGCCCUCGCCAGACACACACAUCGCUGCCGCAGCAGCUACACAGACCACAGCUGUGGUCAUAGUGGCACAUGCCUUUGGACCAGACAGUGGAUGCCUGCAGGUAGCAUCUCUAGUUAACCAGUAGAAUAGUGUUGAUAACUCAGUAGACAGGGUUAAAAGAUAUGGUCACCACAAGUCAUCCAACGCUUAUCAUUUAAUGUCCAUUCAACUCCAGGACACAUAUGAAUUUGUACAUUCUCCUAAGCUGGUUGUUCUUUCUGCCUCUCUGUGACAUCUGACAAUUUUACUUUAUUAAAACAUCUUUAACUGCAUAGUGUGGAGAUAGUGAUGAAAUCCAACUCUCAUUUCCUAACGGUGCCUUGCUCUUAAUCACACAAAAUGCAAAGGGUCUCUACUUGUUAUAAACCCUCUGGAUACAGGUAACCUCCAGUAAAAUACAGUUGUUGAUUUGGAAGACAGGAGCGUAACAGAGUACAGAAGCUAUAUCCUCUUUCAAAUGAAAUUGAAAUGAUUCUGACUAGACCAUAUGUGUCAAAACAUAUGACACAUAAGCUGCUACUCUCAACUUCUACAACCAUGUCAGACAUCACUAAUGGAUGGCCCACCAAACCCAGACUAGACCUUAGAAUCCUCCUCAAUACCAUACUCUGAGGGCUGGCAGGAGAGAGAAAAUGUCCUUGCCAUCCCUAGAUUAGACAGUGAGCUCUUCAAUGACAGGGCUUUGUUGUUGUUAUUGUUUUUCACCUUGGUAUUGCUGGUACCUGGCGCAGUGUGGGCACAUAGUAGGAGCUCAGAAAACAUCUGUUGAACUGAUUGGGAUUCUUGCAGCUACAGUGCCUUUAAGUAGCUAUGUCACCGUUUCAGAAUCCUCUGAGAUGCACUUUUUUUAUUUGCUAGAGGAAACUAACGAAUGUUACUGCCUUUAACUCCAGGAUUGGAUAAAGAAAUGGGCUCCUGUGUAUACUUUCUCAGUUGAUUUAUCUAAAUCAGGCCAUUUUCUCUAUUCAAAAUUUCACCAGGAGUGGGCAUAACUCGAUACUUUUUUAAUAAAGAGACUCUUUAUUUUCCUCUUUUGGCUUUUCCCCCCUGAUCUUCAGAGGUAAUAGGUAUAAAGCCUAGCUCAGAAAGUGGAGGACCACCUGGAGACUGUUUUCAUUAUUUGAAGACUGCAAUUUGUAACCUUGUAAAAUGUAACAUGGCACCUUCCAUUUUAGGCUGGUCAUUCUCCCCAUGACCCCUUCUUUCUAAUGCAGUGGGAAUGAAAAGUAUACCCCCUGUCUGUGGGAGACAGGAGAAGAGAAACAAUGGCCCAAGGAAUCCUCAGGGUACUGAUGGGGUUGGUUUUGGCCAAAGAGAACUGACCAGUGGAAAGUAGAUACAAGUAGGUGGGGGCAGAUUUGAAAGACACACUUGGAAGUAAGUGGGGAAUCCCUGUGCGAAGGUCCACUCGCACAUGGAAGCGAUGGAGCAGGAUCAGAAAAAUAAGGGUAAGGAUGAGAGCAAGAAGGGUGAGGGGGAAAAACGUGGGAAAGACGGAAAAGGUAAAAUUGUACUGGUUGAGGGAUGUAACAAGAAAUAGGGCAACUUUGGAAAACAGAGUAUCUAAAAGGUAUCCAUGAAGCACUAAGAAAAUCUCAGGAUUUGAAUGAUGGCCAAACACCUGGUGAUAGGGUGGUAUGACAGGGACAGCAGAGAAGGAACAGAAGCACUUUAAAGGAGCAAAGGACUUAAAGGAGAUAGUCUAAUAAGGGGCUGGGGAGUUAGGAGAUGGGAGGGAAUUAGGCAGAAGGGACAGAAUUCAAGAAGAAUGAAUAAAAGAUGAAGAAAGUUCCUGUGCAGUUUUCACUAUAUGGGAUUACCCUCAGCUGUCAGCUUUGGAAUUCAAAGAAGUCCCCUUCCUAAUGGUCUUUGUCAAGAUAAAGAAAUGAAAGAAAGGGGCCAAGGGUUCGAGAGAGUUGAGACCAAACCAGAGGCUGAUCCUCCCCCUUAGCUAAUGAAAUGGGCUAAGCGAGAGCUUCACUGAGCUACAUUUUUAGUGGCUGCUGGUUAAUUACCUGAGUCUUAAAAUAAGAGGGGACGCCCAUGUUGGGAAGGCCCAGUCAAAUUACAAUAUGGGACUGAGCCGCUGGGAGCUAGUUUCCAGUGGAGCACAGGGUCUCCAAUGAUGGUGCUGAGAGGCCUUAAUAUGCCACCAGGCAUGCUGCUAAGUGAUAUUUUAAUUAAACCUUAAGUGACAUAUCUCCUGUCUGUGACUCUGAUGGCUUUUUAAUUCAGGUCCUAUUGCAGCACGACUCUUAAUAUUCCUUUCUAAUUCCCAGUUUGCAGGGGAAGGUUUCCAUGGCAGAGUUCCUCCCUCCCAUCCCAACCUCUGUCCCUGUCUUUUAUCCCUCCCCCACCUCCAACCUGCCCAGGAUUUUUUUUUUUUUUCUAAUGAAAAGAGACUUUAAUUUGGGCCCUUUGAGUAGGAAGCAGACAGUUAGGAUUUCGGGCCUAAGAGGAAAGCGAGACUUACAGGUACCUGACUGGACAGACUCAGGUUUGCAGCUGUGGUCUUCUUCUUGCUGCCAGUGCUGUUUGCGUUGUUCCCAGCGCUGCUGUUGGAAGUGCUGCUGGUGGAAUUUUUCCUUUUUCUCCGUUUGGUUGUUGGUUGCCUUGUGGGUUCUGCUGCAAUAUGGAAAAGGGAAGAGGGAUCAGUUCUAGGGCAGAAGCAACAAGGCAAUCAUCAGUAUGGUUACUCUAAGGAAGCUGUCUUGGUAAACUGAAGAGUAGACUAUUUAAACAUUUUCCAUUUCUUAUAGCUUUAGAAAGAAUAAAAGGAGAAAACUGUAGAUGUGUUUUUAGCACAAAAUAUGUGACACUCUUUUCUUUGUGUGUAGAUCAAAUAAUUUUUAUUUAAUCGUUCUCCCUAAUGAUAUGUAUUUAAUUUUGUAAAAAUAUUUUUUAGGUGUGUAACUACAAGUACCACUUUCAUAAUUGGAUUUAAAAUAUUUUACCAUUAGAAAAUUUGGGAAACUUUUUUCCUCUGGUGUAUCUUCUCUUUAAAACAAAGAGAGGACUCCUGGGAUCCCUAGGGUACCUCCAAGGUACGAGUGAAGUAUGAACUUUAAAUAGCCAAAUUCAUGAGCCAGUGUGCAACAGCAGCAUCUACUGGUGAAAUGUCAUAUUGCAACCCACCUCUAUUAUACCUUUAUAAAAUUCUCAAGUAAAGUUAGUUCCAUCAGCUGUGGAUGUGGAGCUUAGGGAUUCCCAAGUUCAGAAGGAAUACCCAUGGUUUGGGCCCUGCUGUUUAAUAAAUGCUACUAAUUCCAAAAUUGCUAGAAAAAAAUAUGUCUGAGUACAUGGUAUAGCCAGCAUAUUACUGAGGGGAAACUAGACCUCUUAAAGAAAGGCGUAUUCAGAAACAGAGAAAAAUAUUUUGGACUUGAAGGAUGGGGCAACCCUUUAAUGGAAAUAUAGAGACCCAAGGUAAAGUGUGAUAGGAGAAAUAGUCUUUAUUUAUUUGUUUGUUUACUUAUAAGGUAUAGAACAUUAUGUAAUACUUGUCACUAUUCUUAAUGUUUCCAAUGCACUAUUUUAUAUUCAAAAAAUCCUAUUAGUUAGGAACUAUUAUUGUAAUCUUUGUUUCAUAAAUGAGAAAGUUUCAGAAGCCUUCUCCUGCCAGUUACUGAAUAAGUUGGAAAUGGCAAGUAAGAGCAUCCUUUUUGCCAGCUCUAUUUUAGACCUGACUGUGAUGGAGAGAAGGCAACUCAGGGCUACACUGGAACCAAAUAAGAGGGCCUUGUAACAUUUUCUUAAAAUACCUAUGCUGGCCGGGUGCCAUGGCUCAUGGCAAUAAUCCUAGCAUUUUGGGAGGAUGAGGCAAGUGGAUUGUUUGAGCCCAGGAAUUCGAGACCAACUUGGGCAACAUGGUGAACCCCAUCUGUACAAAAUAUACACAGAUUAGCCAGGUGUGGUGAUACGCACCAGGGGUCCCAGAUACUCUUGAGGCUGAGGUGUGAGAAUCACCUGAGCCCGGAAGUCGAGGCUGCAGUAAGCUAUGAUUGUGCCACUGCAGUCCAGCCUGGGUGACAGAGCAAGACCAUGUCUCAAAAACAAAGCAAAGCAAGACAAAAUCACACCAAAAAAACACCUAUGCCACUUCUGGUGGACAAUGGGAAGGAUCUUCCUCUAAGGCUUAUUUCAAAGACCACUUAGUCCAAUGAGUAUCCCUGACUUCUUUUUGACUUUUCUACUCAUCUACUAUUUUUUUAUCCUCCCUAAAUAUUUUGUCUCUUAUGCUUAAAGAUUUUCAUCAAAUGGUCUAUCAUUUCCUUCCAUCGAGUUCAGGGUGCGUGUUCUGAAGGAUGAGAGGAAUAGGAUAUAGAACUGUUCCAGGUCAUGGAGUUGAAUAAAGGGUUGAGGAGGACAUUCUAAAGUCCAGCAGAUACUCAGGCCCACUCCUGACAAGUAUCUUCUUUCUUUGACCUUAAGAGUAUAAAUUUGGUGCUCUUUUUAUUUGUACUUUGACCAUGAAAUUGGGGCAAGUGUACCUAAAAUCCAUAUUCUGGACUAUUCCCAUUACCAGUAGGUGGCUGUGUGGUAGUAAAAUAAUGGACUUUGGAGACAUAAAAACCUUUUGGUGACACAGUCCUCCUUCAUUUGUUAGCCAUGAGACUGGCUGUGUCAAAUUACUACCCUAAGUCUCAGAGUGCACUAUAUAAAAUGGAGAUAAUACAUUUAAAAUUAUGGUAAGGAUUCAAUAUUUUUGCAUGUUUUAUUCAGUUUUGUAACUCCCAGUGGCUAGAACCACGUCUGGAGCCUAAUAAAACUCAAUAAAUAAUUAUUGAAUGAAUGAAGGAAUUAAUGAAUAAUGUAUCAAUUAUAUAUGCCUAUGUUAGAAAAUAUAGCAUUUGUUGAGUGGAUUACGUUUUCUCCAUAAAGUCUUAUUAGCAUUAAAAGAAAAAAUAAAGCCAAUUUAAGCACAUUUAAUAUAUUUGAAAAAUAAUAUUCCAAAAGUCUAAAAUUCCCAUAAGAUGGGGAUGUAACUAUUCUACAUAAAAUAACACUUAUUUUCUCAGCUUUCUAAAUAUGUACUUGAUUAAAUUUGCUAUAUUCAUUUUACAUAAAACCCCUGGCCAAUUACCAGCCGAAGGUGACCAUUAUAUUUUGUGAUUCAGAAAGCUAUGUGCCUUGUGUUAAUAAUUACUUUUUAUAAAAAUAAUUUUUAGCGAAUGGCUACAUUUUGCUUUUAUGAUGAAUGAGGCUCAACACACGCCUGGGAGUGAAAGUAUAUUAGAUAGGAAGACAAUUAAUGAUGACUUGAAUCGGUAAUUUCAGAACCCCAGCAGGAGACUAUAGUAUCUAAACUGCAUUCUAGGGAAGUGAGGGAAAUGGAAUUGCUUAUAUAUUCUCUUCAUGAUCAGAACUUUUGAUACAAUAUAUCUUUAAAAACAGAGCAAACUUCAUUUUUCCUUCAUCGUUUCCUCCUUUCUUCCUUCAUUCAUCUGUUCCUUUCUUCCUUCCUUCUUUCCAUCCCUUCUUUUUUCUCCUUUCCUUCUUCCUUAUCUUCCCUUUCUUCCUUCCUUUUCAUAAUGUCUGUCAUUCUUAAAAAACAAAAACCUAAAACAUUAGGCCGUGAGAAGCCAGCAGUCUGGCUCAGUGGAAGAACCACUAGAUUGGAAGACAGGAACCCCUGGCUCUGAUCUCAGCUUUGCCAAUGACCUUCUUGAUGACCUUGAACAUGUUAUUUUACCUCUCUGAGUUGCAGGUCCUAAUCUGGUAAGUGAGGAGACUGUAGAUAAUUCUUAAGGAUGUUUGCCUGUCACAAAUUCAUUGUCUUUAUGUCCACAACCAUGGUCAGAAUAUCCCUAAUAAGCUACUUGUCCUGAUACAUUAAUGAUCACUUUCUUCUUUUUCACAUCACUUCAUCCCUGGAAGACACCUCUGAAAACGUGUUUAGAGAGAGAGUGAAGAAUGAGGGUGUACCUGGUGGAGCCACCAUCCUCUGCCACUUCUGAAACAAGCAGGUCUUCAGGCAGUCUCGGGGACUGAGGUUGUAAGUUUUAUGUCUCGACAUCAGUUCCUGCAUUGGCUCCAAUAUUACACACAACUGCAAGAAGUUCAAAGACAUUGGCAUUUCACUACUUUAUAACACUAAUAAUUACAAUAAAUAAUGCUAACAGCUGGAAUCAAGUAGACAGCUUUGAGAAUACUUUUAUUUUCCUGGUUUUGAUUUUCUUUAUAUAAAUGUGAGGAAAAAUAAAUAUUGCAAAAACUUGAUUAUA